GCCGCCGCCGCCGGGCCGCCCGGGGCCCUGCUGCAGGCCGACGAGCCCGAGGAGGAUUGAUCCCGACUCGGCCUGCCCUUGCUGCCUCCCUGCCUGCUGCACAGAGACACACACCCCCCACAGAGACUGAGCCUGUCACGGACAGAACAGAGAGACCGCGGCACGCAACCAGAGAGAGAAAUAAUACAAAGCGUAAAAAGAGGAAAAAAAAAAACGACAAAAAAAAUGUACCUGUUCAUAACUCCAAGGGAGCACCACCCACCCAACAGCCUCCACAAACUGACAGCUGAGCAACUCCUCUGACCUGCCACCCAUCGCUGGAUGUUCCUCCACUUUACCCACCGUAUAAAACAACUUUUACCAGUAAAUAUCGGUUUAUUCCUGAAACCAGAAGCCCUAAACAUACCUUUGUUUAUAAGUUUUCCUGCUCUGCAUCUCUGGAAAAGGAGCCCACAGGACCUAGACCCUUCUGUUGCCUGUGUGGUUCUGAUUGCUGGCAGUUCUAUAAUACAACUUUAA
ensembl:lncRNA